rnacentral:tRNA from 1 species
UGGCAGCGAUGCGAAGAAGUGGGUUACUUCGACUGCGGAUCGAAAGGUUCCGGGUUCGAGUCCCGGUCGCCCGA